rnacentral:rRNA from 2 species
GUUUUCGGAUCGUAAAACUCUGUUGUAAGGGAAGAACACGUACGAGAGUAACUGCUCGUACCUUGACGGUACCUUAUUAGAAAGCCACGGCUAACUACGUGCCAGCAGCCGCGGUAAUACGUAGGUGGCAAGCGUUGUCCGGAAUUAUUGGGCGUAAAGCGCGCGCAGGCGGUUCUUUAAGUCUGAUGUGAAAGCCCACGGCUCAACCGUGGAGGGUCAUUGGAAACUGGAGAACUUGAGUACAGAAGAGGAAAGCGGAAUUCCACGUGUAGCGGUGAAAUGCGUAGAGAUGUGGAGGAACACCAGUGGCGAAGGCGGCUUUCUGGUCUGUAACUGACGCUGAGGCGCGAAAGCGUGGGGAGCAAACAGGAUUAGAUACCCUGGUAGUCCACGCCGUAAACGAUGAGUGCUAAGUGUUAGGGGGUUUCCGCCCCUUAGUGCUGCAGCUAACGCAUUAAGCACUCCGCCUG